UACGGAGGGAGCUAGCGUUGUUCGGAAUUACUGGGCGUAAAGGGUUCGUAGGUGGCCCGCUAAGUCAGACGUGAAAUCCCUCAGCUCAACUGGGGAACUGCGUCUGAGACUGGUGGGCUUGAGUGCAGGAGAGGAACGCGGAAUUCCAGGUGUAGCGGUGAAAUGCGUAGAUAUCUGGAGGAACACCGGUGGCGAAGGCG
rnacentral:rRNA from 1 species